rnacentral:rRNA from 1 species
GACGAACGCUGGCGGCGUGCCUAAUACAUGCAAGUCGAGCGAAUCGAUGGGAGCUUGCUCCCUGAGAUUAGCGGCGGACGGGUGAGUAACACGUGGGUAACCUGCCUGUAAGACUGGGAUAACUUCGGGAAACCGGAGCUAAUACCGGAUACUUUCUUUUCUCGCAUGAGGGAAGAUGGAAAGAUGGUUCUGCUAUCACUUACAGAUGGACCCGCGGCGCAUUAGCUAGUUGGUGGGGUAACGGCUCACCAAGGCAACGAUGCGUAGCCGACCUGAGAGGGUGAUCGGCCACACUGGGACCGAGACACGGCCCAGACUCCUACGGAAGGCAGCAGUAGGGAAUCUUCCGCAAUGGACGAAAGUCUGACGGAGCAACGCCGCGUGAGCGAAGAAGGCCUUCGGGUCGUAAAGCUCUGUUGUUAGGGAAGAACAAGUACGAGAGUAACUGCUCGUACCUUGACGGUACCUAACCAGAAAGCCACGGCUAACUACGUGCCAGCCGCCGCGGUAACAC